AUCAGCUGAAUAUUUUUAUGUCGAUAUACUUCUGAGCUAAGAAUGUAAAAAAUUUGGACUCCAAUAUUGAACUCAGGUGCACAAAUCACAAGAAAUCAACCCAUGCAGAGACUGAAUGUAGAAUACCACAGGAAGCAUUUAUCAAACAAUCUAAUUAACAUUGCAUGUCAUUACGUGUGAAACUGUAAGAAAUUGACUAUGAAUUCCCUGACCAUUUGAACGCAGGAUGGAGUCAACAGAGUAUAUUGAAAUAGGACUGGACUUUGGGGCCAGGAAGAUCAGCAACCUGACCAUGAUUUUACCACUUACCACUUGGCAUACACUGAGCAUAAUCUGAAAAGGAACAUCCACAUCUGGAGACUUGUUGAGGCAGAGCUGAUGAUGCACUGGAGGUGCUGAUGAAAGCAUCUGUUACAUGCAUGAAAAGAAUGUGGCCGAAUGGAAUCCAACCUGCAGUCUUGUGAUGAACACUGCAGUCAGCCAUAGAACUGCAACCUGGCUCUUCUCAGGUGUCUCACAGCUUCUAACCGGUUGGCCAGCUGGACUUCCCUGGCACUGGACAGCUCAGUACUCACUGGAGGAUGAUGGGAAUCAGAGCAACCAAGUGCUACUGGGCAGAUGUGAGCUCCUUAACCCCAGCAUAGCCUGCUUCCCACUUAAAAGCCCCCUGACUCUUUAGGACGGAUGGCGAGUCUGCUCGAAUGAAAAACUAGCUCACU